AUUAAAGAGUUCUAUAACUCCCAAACCCAUGUGAACAUACCUAACGUUGCCUCGGCAGGUCGCACCUACCUUGUAGCACCCUACCCUGUAGGGCCUACCCGGGAGGUGCGAGUAAGCCUGCCGGCGGCCCACCAAACUCUGUUUGAUAUUGAAUUCUGAACCUAUAACUAAAUAAGUUAAAACUUUCAACAACGGAUCUCUUGGUUCUGGCAUCGAUGAAGAACGCAGCGAAAUGCGAUAAGUAAUGUGAAUUGCAGAAUUCAGUGAAUCAUCGAAUCUUUGAACGCAUAUUGCGCCCAUUAGUAUUCUAGUGGGCAGGACCGUUCGAGCGUCAUUUCAACCCUUAAGCCUUCGUUGCUUAGUGUUGGGAGCCUACGGCAACGUAGCUCCUCAAAGUUAGUGGCGGAGUUGGUUCACACUCUAGACGUAGUAAUUUUUUAUCUCGCCUAUUAGUUGGACUAAUCCCCUGCCGUAAAACCCCCAAUUUAUCAAGGUUGACCUCGAAUCGGUUCAGACAAACUCGCUAAAUUGAAGCAUCUUAGUCAGCGAAGGAAAAGAAACCAACAGGGAUUGCCCUAGUAACGGCGAGUGAAGCGGCAACAG
rnacentral:rRNA from 1 species